GGGGAAUAUUGCACAAUGGGCGCAAGCCCGAUGCAGCCAUGCCGCGUGUGUGAAGAAGGCCUUCGGGUUGUAAAGCACUUUCAGCGGGGAGGAAGGCAAUACGGUUAAUAACCGUGUUGAUUGACGUCACCCGCAGAAGAAGCACCGGCUAACUCCGUGCCAGCAGCCGCGGUAAUACGGAGGGUGCAAGCGUUAAUCGGAAUUACUGGGCGUAAAGCGCACGCAGGCGGUCUGUCAAGUCGGAUGUGAAAUCCCCGGGCUCAACCUGGGAACUGCAUUCGAAACUGGCAGGCUUGAGUCUUGUAGGGGGGGGUAGAAUUCCAGGUGUAGCGGUGAAAUGCGUAGAGAUCUGGAGGAAUACCGGUGGCGAAGGCGGCCCCCUGGACAAAGACUGACGCUCAGGGGCGAAAGCGUGGGGAGCAAAC
rnacentral:rRNA from 1 species